CCGGAUUUUUACGAGAUGGGUCACACUGAGGUCACCUUGCAUACGGAAAAUAUGUCGGGGGAAUUGCUUGCUGGAAGGAAGCUAUUCAAAUAAAGUAAACUUCUUCUAAAUAUGAAUAAAUUAAAGAAUUUUCUUUAGAAAAAAGUAUAUGUACAUAAGUUUUAUAGUGAAAACUAUCCAUGGAGUUAUAAAAAUCAUAUGC
rnacentral:lncRNA from 1 species